GACAGCGUGUUUCCUCUCUGUCUGUGUGGUCCUUAACCAUAUUAAGUCCGACACCAUAUAACCAUAAAUAAAAUAAUGUGUUAACUGCGUCGUUAAAUAAAACAUUUCCUUCCUUCUAUUAUUGUGCAUUUUCAGCACCUCAACAUUUUCUCAGGGAAGCAUGUCUCCAAACCCCCUUUGGGUCAUCAAUAUUCCACCCUCGUUCCAUUGUACUGACAGUGGCCUCCACCCACCAACUUUGAAAAGGACUGCAGGCCUUGAAACACACAGAGGGCCACCAUCAUAUUACAUGUACACAUGUACAUACAUACAUAAUAUACCCCUUUCAAAAUUUAAAAAAUAAAAAAUAAAAAAUAAAUUCAUUGGGUUCAAUUUACGGAAGACUGUUUAUCUUAUAAACUGGAUGAGGUGUGUGUGCGUGUGUGGUCUGAUUGUUUCUUCCAGUGCUUCUGUGGCUUGCAUUUAGGGCAUACACACCAACUGCGUUCAGGUGGACUGCAUACAUUUUGCAGAUGCGCACAUCGCACACAUCAAGUCUAGGCGCUCUCGUUGAAACUAAUGUAUUUCAGGGGUGGUGGUUUCUAGACCACAUGCCAUGUGCCACAUUCAGUCUAUACGAGACUAGUGUGUUUAGCUACAUGCGUAUAAAACAAAAACAGUCUGUAAAUUCAGGUUAUCUGGUAAACACUGCAUUGUCAGAGUAUGUGGAAGUUCAAGGAAGGGGUGCACACCGAGAGCAUCCUCCCCGUGGAUCCAUAUAGCAUGAUGGGGUGCACACGGAGAGCAUCCUCCCCGUGGAUCCAUAUAGCAUGAUGGGGUGCACACACCGAGAGCAUCCUCCCCGUGGAUCCAUAUAGCAUGAUGGGGUGCACACACCGAGAGCAUCCUCCCCGUGGAUCCAUAUAGCAUGAUGGGGUGCACACACCGAGAGCAUCCUCCCCGUGGAUCCAUAUAGCAUGAUGGGGUGCACACACCGAGAGCAUCCUCCCCGUGGAUCCAUAUAGCAUGAUGGGGUGCACACACCGAGAGCAUCCUCCCCGUGGAUCCAUAUAGCAUGAUGGGGUGCACACGGAGAGCAUCCUCCCCGUGGAUCCAUAUUGCAUGAUGGUGACUGAUGUCAGGGUAUGUGGAAGUUCAAGGAAGGGGUGCACACGGAGAGCAUCCUCCCCAUGGAUCCAUAUAGCAUGAUGGUGACUGAUGUCAGGGUAUGUGGAAGUUCAAGGAAGGGGUGCACACGGAGAGCAUCCUCCCCGUGGAUCCAUAUAGCAUGAUGGUGACUGAUGUCAGGGUAUGUGGAAGUUCAAGGAAGGGGUGCACACGGAGAGCAUCCUCCCCAUGGAUCCAUAUAGCAUGAUGGUGACUGAUGUCAGGGUAUGUGGAAGUUCAAGGAAGGGGUGCACACGGAGAGCAUCCUCCCCGUGGAUCCAUAUAGCAUGAUGGUGACUGAUGUCAGGGUAUGUGGAAGUUCAAGGAAGGGGUGCACACUGAGAGCAUCCUCCCCGUGGAUCCAUAUAGCAUGAUGGUGACUGAUGUCAGGGUAUGUGGAAGUUCAAGGAAGGGGUGCACACGGAGAGCAUCCUCCCCGUGGAUCCAUAUUGCAUGAUGGUGACUGAUGUCAGGGUAUGUGGAAGUUCAAGGAAGGGGUGCACACGGAGAGCAUCCUCCCCAUGGAUCCAUAUAGCAUGAUGGUGACUGAUGUCAGGGUAUGUGGAAGUUCAAGGAAGGGGUGCACACGGAGAGCAUCCUCCCCGUGGAUCCAUAUAGCAUGAUGGUGACUGAUGUCAGGGUAUGUGGAAGUUCAAGGAAGGGGUGCACACGGAGAGCAUCCUCCCCAUGGAUCCAUAUAGCAUGAUGGUGACUGAUGUCAGGGUAUGUGGAAGUUCAAGGAAGGGGUGCACACGGAGAGCAUCCUCCCCAUGGAUCCAUAUAGCAUGAUGGUGACUGAUGUCAGGGUAUGUGGAAGUUCAAGGAAGGGGUGCACACGGAGAGCAUCCUCCCCGUGGAUCCAUAUUGCAUGAUGGUGACUGAUGUCAGGGUAUGUGGAAGUUCAAGGAAGGGGUGCACACGGAGAGCAUCCUCCCCAUGGAUCCAUAUAUCAUGAUGGUGACUGAUGUCAGGGUAUGUGGAAGUUCAAGGAAGGGGUGCACACGGAGAGCAUCCUCCCCGUGGAUCCAUAUAGCAUGAUGGUGACUGAUGUCAGGGUAUGUGGAAGUUCAAGGAAGGGGUGCACACGGAGAGCAUCCUCCCCAUGGAUCCAUAUAGCAUGAUGGUGACUGAUGUCAGGGUAUGUGGACGUUCAAGGAAGGGGUGCACACCGAGAGCAUCCUCCCCGUGGAUCCAUAUAGCAUGAUGGUGACUGAUGUCAGGGUAUGUGGACGUUCAAGGAAGGGGUGCACACCGAGAGCAUCCUCCCCGUGGAUCCAUAUAGCAUGAUGGUGACUGAUGACAGGGUAUGUGGAAGUUCAAGGAAGGGGUGCACACACCGAGAGCAUCCUCCCCGUGGAUCCAUAUUGCAUGAUGGUGACUGAUGUCAGGGUAUGUGGACGUUCAAGGAAGGGGUGCACACCGAGAGCAUCCUCCCCGUGGAUCCAUAUAGCAUGAUGGUGACUGAUGUCAGGGUAUGUGGAAGUUCAAGGAAGGGGUGCACACCGAGAGCAUCCUCCCCGUGGAUCCAUAUAGCAUGAUGGUGACUGAUGUCAGGGUAUGUGGAAGUUCAAGGAAGGGGUGCACACGGAGAGCAUCCUCCCCAUGGAUCCAUAUAGCAUGAUGGUGACUGAUGUCAGGGUAUGUGGAAGUUCAAGGAAGGGGUGCACACCGAGAGCAUCCUCCCCAUGGAUCCAUAUUGCAUGAUGGUGACUGAUGACUUAGUAACUUAGCCAGGACUUCUAAAAUGUUUAUAAAAUCCACUAGUCAAGGGAUCAAUGGUUUUUAAAAUUUACAAGCCAUGAUUAAAAAUUCACUAGCCCUACUUUACUUUUAGUUAAUACAGUUUUACUAAAUAAUAAUAAUAAUAAUGAGAUAUAUCACCUAAAGAAGAAGAUAGAGCAUAAAAACACUAACAUUGGAGGGUUGGGGUGGAGGUACGAUAUUCAUAUAAACAAAAUAGACUUUAAUUGCAACAUUUGACCUCUCUUUUUUCACUAUCUGUCGGGCAAGACAAUAGUAGUUAUUUACUAGCCCAAUUGACUAUUUCUAGCCAUGGGAGUGGGGCUACCAUAGCCCAGAAGCCCUGCCUUAGCCAUCAACAAAAUAACUACUAUAAAACAGAUUUAUGUUUGAUCAGAUUUGAUGAUUAAUUUAUACGAUCCCCCAUCUGUGAACAUAUUAUCAUGGUUUUAGAUCUCACUAGUUUAGACAUACAUUUUUGUGUCUCUUCUGAGAACAGUGAGGUCUUUUUGAAGCAUUAAAGAUAUCCACAAAUGCAUUUCAGAUUAUUAGUCCACUACUGGUCCAACUGGAGGAGACUACAGGUUUUAUCAUCAUCCUUCAGUCUGUCUGUCUGUCUGUCCCACAUAUAGAUUUCCAGAUGGUUUUUUACCCACAAUGUCUCAAGAUAUUGAGCUGAAAUUUGGUGUAUAGCUUUAUCAUGUACUGUUACAGAUCAAGUUUGACUUUCAUGGCGAUUUACCCAUUUGUGACAGAGUUAUGCCCCUUGAACUUAGGACACAAAUUUAGUUUCCUGGACAGAUUUUUUCAAUGACUUAGGUAUUUAGCUUAGUAACUGGUUUAACGUGUCCAUAUACCACUAGAGUUUCGAACACGCCUAUCCCGAUUCCGGCCUCCGAUAGGAUUGGGGGUCUGACUCAGGACAGGGGUAAGCUAACAAAUAGGGGAAAUUUUGAAUAUUAACGCCAAAAAUAUAAAAAGUUGAGAAUUGGGGUUAAAAAGUUUUGGCUGCGCCCUUAAAGAAAAAUAUCCUAACCUAUAUAAAUUAUUAAUAUAAUAUAUUUUCGUCGCAAAUUUAGAUGGGCUGGUCUAAAAUUAAUAAUAAUUCUUAAACAAUAUUCAUUAAGC